AUCAUGAGACGGCCAUGGACGCGUCUUAAUUUUAACUAAGACUAUGGCCUCUCCAAUCAUUAUGCCUCUUCUCGCUUGUUCCCUGACGAUGCAACUCGACACACCAGCUAACGAGAGCAUUCCUCUUCAUGUGUGGUGCAUUGAUCUAUCGCGGAAUUACAGGUAAUCCCGUUGCACCUCGUUUGCA